UAGACUCUCCCUUGCACUUGAUCUUGUACUCAAUCACUCCAUCUUUGAUCUUCAUUGGAUAAAGAGUGAGAAUGUGUGAAGAUUUCUCAAUAGGAGUGGGAUGAGGUUCUUUGAUCAUCUUCUUCUUGUCAUGAGUAGCCUUUGUGGCUCUACCCACCUCCUCUAUUUUAGCACUUUUCAAAUGCUCAUCACACAUCUCAUGAGAUGACUCUCCAUCAAGAAUUUGUUUUUCACUAGCUAUCACUUCAUCUUUGAUCUUCU
rnacentral:lncRNA from 1 species